UACAGAGGUCUCAAGCGUUGUUCGGAUUCAUUGGGCGUAAAGGGUGUGUAGGUGGCGCCGUAAGUCGGGUGUGAAAUUUCGGAGCUUAACUCCGAAACUGCAUUCGAUACUGCGGUGCUUGAGGACUGGAGAGGAGACUGGAAUUCAUGGUGUAGCAGUGAAAUGCGUAGAGAUCAUGAGGAAGACCAAUUGCGAAGGCAGCUCGCUGGGACGUUACUGACGCUGAGACGCGAAAGCGUGGGGAGCAAACAGG
rnacentral:rRNA from 1 species